rnacentral:rRNA from 1 species
GCGUCCCAUUAGCUAGUUGGCGGGGUAACGGCCCACCAAGGCAACGAUGGGUAGCUGGUCUGAGAGGAUGAUCAGCCACACUGGAACUGGAACACGGUCCAGACUCCUACGGGAGGCAGCAGUGAGGAAUUUUGCGCAAUGGGGGCAACCCUGACGCAGCAACGCCGCGUGAGUGAUGAAGGCCUUCGGGUCGUAAAGCUCUGUCGAGUGGGAAGAAACAGUAAUGGUUAAUAUCCAUUGCCUUGACGGUACCACUAAAGGAAGCACCGGCUAACUCCGUGCCAGCAGCCGCGGUAAUACGGGGGGUGCAAGCGUUAUUCGGAAUUAUUGGGCGUAAAGGGUGCGUAGGCGGUUUUGUAAGUCAGAUGUGAAAUCCCGGGGCUUAACUUCGGAACUGCAUUUGAUACUGCAAGACUUGAGUAUGGGAGAGGAGAGCGGAAUUCCUGGUGUAGAGGUGAAAUUCGUAGAUAUCAGGAGGAACACCGGUGGCGAAGGCGGCUCUCUGGACCAAUACUGACGCUGAGGCACGAAGGCGUGGGGAGCAAACAGGAUUAGAUACCCUGGUAGUCCACGCAGUAAACAGUUAUCACUUGGUGUUGCGGGUAUUGACCCCUGCGGCGCCGUAGCAAACGCGUUAA